GAUUGCCAAGAACUAUCUUUCUAAACACAGUUCCUUUCAUUAGCUCCCAGAGAAUCUGGCAAGCAUGACAGGAUGGAGAAUACACUUGGUGACAUAUUCGAGAUUCUUCUAGAUCCAGCCUGCUCCCACCUCACCAGAUUUGCCAAGAGUUAACAAAUGCUUAAUAUCCAGGAGUAUUUGCUGUGCCUGCCUGAUGCUCAGUAACUUGUCACUGCUUCGAGGGAUCAGGAUGGGAGAUCUAUUCUCUGUAGUCCAACCUAAAGACUAAAAUGCAUUUCUCUGCAAUUACACCAUCAAAAAG
rnacentral:lncRNA from 1 species